ACACGCCAGGGCCGGACUGUCGACGGGACCGACUUACGAUCGACAAGCCAGCUAGAACGACGCACAAUGGCCAACGACGUGGAGAACCCGCCGAGUUUCCUACACGACCAGCUCGUGGAGGCGGCAGCGGAGCCUGACGAGUGCGGCAGGUGCACGGUCAUCGUGCUUCUGGCCGUCCUCGCCUUGCCGCUCAUUGCCAUCGCCAUGGUCCUGAUCAAUUUCCACGACAACUCACCUGAAACCAGCAGACUGACUGUCGCCGCGUUGGUCGUCGGGAUCGUAGCCGCCGUCCUCGGCUCGUGUGCCGGGGCUGUGCUCGUGUUUGUCGUCGGAGAGUGGGAACUCGGCAAUCCGGAAGGGUCUAGGCUAGUAGACUAUUUAUUGUCGAUAUAACCGAACCCGGCCGCUCGCGACUCAUCUGUUUACCUAUCUAUGUAUUUUCGAUCGGCUGCGCAGGAUCUGAUUUACUGUUCGAUCAGCAUAUGCAAGUAUUUUGUUACCUUUUCUCCUACUCCCUCUGUAUCUAAAUAAUUGUUGC
rnacentral:lncRNA from 1 species